rnacentral:rRNA from 1 species
UACGUAGGGUGCAAGCGUUAAUCGGAAUACUGGGCGUAAAGCGUGCGCAGGCGGUUUUGUAAGUCUGUCGUGAAAUCCCCGGGCUCAACCUGGGAAUUGCGAUGGAGACUGCAAGGCUUGAAUCUGGCAGAGGGGGGUAGAAUUCCACGUGUAGCAGUGAAAUGCGUAGAGAUGUGGAGGAACACCGAUGGCGAAGGCAGCCCCCUGGGUCAAGAUUGACGCUCAUGCACGAAAGCGUGGGAGCAAACAGG